AACGGACGCUGGCGGCAGGCCUAACACAUGCAAGUCGAGCGCCCUUUCGGGGGAGCGGCGGCCGGGUGAGUAACGCGUGGGCAUAUGCCCUUCUCUACGGAAUAGCCUCGGGAAACUGAGAGUAAUACCGUAUACGCCCUUUGGGGGAAGGAUUUAUCGGGGAAGGAUUAGCCCGCGUUGGAUUAGGCAGUUGGUAGGGUAAUGGCCUACCAAGCCGACGAUGCAGAGCUGGUUUGAGAGGAUGAGCAGCCACACUGGGACUGGGACACGGCCCAGACUCCUACGGGAUGCAGGAGUGGGGAAUCGUAGACAAUGGGGGCAAUCCUGAUCGAUCCAUGCCGCGUGAGUGAUGAAGUCCUUAGGGUAGUAAAGCUCUUUCAGCUGAGAAGAUAAUGACGGUACCAUCAGAAGAAGCCCCGGCUAACUCCGUG
rnacentral:rRNA from 1 species